GACGAACCGUACGAACGUUAUUCGGAAUUACUGGGCUUAAAGGGUGCGUAGGCUGCGCGGAAAGUUGGGUGUGAAAUCCCUCGGCUCAACCGAGGAACUGCGCUCAAAACUACCGUGCUCGAGGGAGACAGAGGUGAGCGGAACUUAGGGUGGAGCGGUGAAAUGCGUUGAUAUCCUAAGGAACACCCGUGGCGAAAGCGGCUCACUGGGUCUCUUCUGACGCUGAGGCACGAAAGCCAGGGGAGCAAACGGG
rnacentral:rRNA from 1 species